rnacentral:rRNA from 1 species
UAGUUAUGUUCUUUAAACCUAAAGAAUUUGGCGGUGUUUUAGUCUAUUUAGAGGAAUUUGUCCCUUGAUCGAUAAUCCCCGUUUUAUCUUACUUAACUUUGUUAUCAGUAUGUAUACCGCUGUUAUAAGUUUAUUUUUUUAGAAUUAUUUACUUAUUUUAUUAUUUUAAUUUAUUUCAAGUCAAGGUGCAGCUUAUAGUUAAGUGGUGAUGAAUUACAAUAUAUUUGAAUAUAAUGGAUUUAAUUUUUAAAAUUUUAAUGAAGGUGGAUUUAAUAGUAAUUUUAUCAAUAUUGUUAUUUUGAUUUUAGCUCUAAAAUAAGUACACAUCGCCCGUCGCUCUA